rfam:Medicago truncatula strain A17 chromosome 6, whole genome shotgun sequence.
GAGAGGUCCCUGCCCUCAGCCGUUUAGCUAUUUAAACGUUAUCCCAUCAGACGGUUAAACUAUUCUUCUGAACAUUCUGGUGCUAAACGGAAUGAGGGUAGUCAUCCCUCUCAU